GAGCGCGGGAAGCAAAAAGAUCUCUUCGGAGUGACAUUUGUGGAACGAGCGGCGGACGGGUGAGUAACACGUGGGCAACCUGCCUGUAAGACUGGGAUAACUCCGGGAAACCGGGGCUAAUACCGGAUAAUACUUUUCUUCGCAUGAAGGAAAGUUGAAAGAUGGCCUUUGGCUAUCACUUACAGAUGGGCCCGCGGCGCAUUAGCUAGUUGGUGAGGUAAGAGCUCACCAAGGCAACGAUGCGUAGCCGACCUGAGAGGGUGAUCGGCCACACUGGGACUGAGACACGGCCCAGACUCCUACGGGAGGCAGCAGUAGGGAAUCUUCCGCAAUGGACGAAAGUCUGACGGAGCAACGCCGCGUGAACGAAGAAGGUUUUCGGAUCGUAAAGUUCUGUUGUUAGGGAAGAACAAGUACCGUUCUAAUAGGGCGGUACCUUGACGGUACCUAUCGAGGAAGCCCCGGCUAACUACGUGCCAGCAGCCGCGGUAAUACGUAGGGGGCAAGCGUUGUCCGGAAUUAUUGGGCGUAAAGCGCGCGUAGGCGGUUUCUUAAGUCUGAUGUGAAAUCUUGCGGCUCAACCGCAAGCGGUCAUUGGAAACUGGGGAACUUGAGUGCAGAAGAGGAGAGCGGAAUUCCACGUGUAGCGGUGAAAUGCGUAGAUAUGUGGA
rnacentral:rRNA from 1 species